CUUAUAUUGUAAGAAUGGACUCACUACGAAAGCUGUACUUGCACAUCAUCAUGGCGUUGCUGCUAGUCGUGGCUGCAGGUGAGCCUAACGGGUGUCUAGAUGGCUGGUGUGUAAAACCAAGUGCCUCGCACCAUGGUGGAUGUCAGUAUGACCCACUUUGCAAAUUUGCUUGUCAGAACGAGGGUUGGCCAAGUGGAUUUUGUAAACCUGGAUUUUUUACUGGGUCAUGUAAAUGUUGCUAUCCAUGCAAACACUAGAGCUCCACAGAUACCAAGGAGACAUUAUCUAGUGGUGCUAGCAUGCUUGUUUUUACCUACCAAUGGGUUUCAAUAUAUUUUCCGUGUGCGUGUUGUCAGAAUUUUCCUCUUGAAAUAAAUACAUUGGAUUUUUUUUUUGCA